UCUAAUUUCCCAGCUCGGAGGGCCCCAAAUAGUCAUUCCCCUGCCUCCCCCUUGCCCCAGGAGCACUGGAGGAGAUGAACACUGAGCAGAUACAACCAUGGAACUCACCCUGAUAAAGUUACCAGGCACCAGAAUCAAGGUGCCCUGAGCCAGACCAACCCCAUCCACCAGGUGGGGAGCGCUGCAGAUUAAGGUUUGGCUGAAGGGACUAUGGGGGAAUUACUUUGCUUCAGUCUCCUGGUACAGGGAGAGAACUCUGGGCCAGCAGUUGUAUGGAUUUAGGUUGGGGGUGGCUAAUCAAAGAGAGCUUCCUGGAGGAAGAGCAGACGAGAUCUGCCUGGUGAGAAUGGAUGAGCUGCUCGAGCCUGAAUUGCUUAAGGAAUGUGCACUGGGAUAUGUCUGGUUCAUCAUCUCUUCUGAAGACAGAACAAGAGGUCGCGAGAGAAGCCCUGGAGCUCUAGGGGUCACUUCCACCCAUAUGGCCUCAGCUAAGAGUGAAGCCACUGAUAUUACCAGACCUAACUAAGAACACAAGUGAUGCUCUACAGCAAUGGCCAAACAACAACAGCAACCAAAAAUGGAGGAGCAAAGAGAAACCGCUGCCUUCCUCAUCCAACCAUAUGGUAAUAUGUGCACUAUCAAGCAUUCUUACCUUUUCCAUCUGCCAACCUAUCAUGCACAUCACAAUCAAAACAUUCACCACUGUUGAGCCUUUUAAUACCCAUCACUUUCUCUCUAAUGUCUCCUCAUGAAGCCCCAUCACUGAAUUUAUUCUUAUCCCUUCUACUGAUAUUUCUGCCUUGCACAUUUUCCAUGUUAUAAUAAAGUCCUUAUGAUCUCUACCCAGUGUGUGAAAAAGUGUCUCUUUAUGUUUGCUUAGAGGCUACCACCUUCAAGUUUCAGUGGAUUAGCAUCAUGAGAUUUGGUGAACAAUAAUUCCAUUUUCCUUUGCUCAGACCCUUCAAUCAUGCCCUUUGCCCAGACCCUUCAAUCAUGCCCUUUGCCAGCCUUUAUGUUCCAAGAUCAAAGGCAUCCUAAGGUUCUCAU
rnacentral:lncRNA from 1 species